rnacentral:rRNA from 1 species
CCUACGGGAGGCAGCAGUGGGGAAUAUUGCACAAUGGGCGCAAGCCUGAUGCAGCGACGCCGCGUGAGGGAUGAAGGCCUUCGGGUUGUAAACCUCUUUCAGUAGGGAAGAAGCUGAUCUUUUGGGUUGGUGACGGUACCUGCAGAAGAAGCGCCGGCUGACUACGUGCCAGCAGCCGCGGUAAUACGUAGGGCGCAAGCGUUAUCCGGAAUUAUUGGGCGUAAAGAGCUCGUAGGCGGUUUGUCGCGUCUGCCGUGAAAGUCCGGGGCUUAACCCCGGAUCUGCGGUGGGUACGGGCAGACUAGAGUGCAGUAGGGGAGACUGGAAUUCCUGGUGUAGCGGUGAAAUGCGCAGAUAUCAGGAGGAACACCGAUGGCGAAGGCAGGUCUCUGGGCUGUAACUGACGCUGAGGAGCGAAAGCAUGGGGAGCGAACAGGAUUAGAUACCCUGGUAGUCCAUGCCGUAAACGUUGGGCACUAGGUGUGGGGGACGAUUCCACGUUUUCCGCGCCGUAGCUAACGCAUUAAGUGCCCGCCUGGGAGUACGGCCGCAAGGCUUAAGACUUAAAUUGAAUUGACGGCGUGAGAGNGCGAGACGACACGAGGAGGAGG